rnacentral:rRNA from 1 species
GACGAACGCUGGCGGCGUGCUUAACACAUGCAAGUCGAACGGAACUUUCGGGUUCAGUGGCAAACGGGUGAGUAACGCGUAGGUAAUCUGCCGCAAAGUUGGGGACAACAGUUCGAAAGGACUGCUAAUACCGAAUGUUGUACAAGUACCGCAUGGUAUUUGUAUUAAAGAUUUUAUCGCUCAAAGAUGGACUCGCGUCCGAUUAGCUUGUUGGCGGGGUAACGGCCCACCAAGCCUUCGAUCAGUAGGGGUUCUGAGAGGAAGGUCCCCCACAUUGGAACUGAGACACGGUCCAAACUCC